rnacentral:ncRNA from 1 species
UUAAUGGCGUUGAAGAGGAGCAGUAAUGUCGCGGAGCAAGGCUAAGAGAGCCGGCGGUUGGUGUAAGCCGGACCUGCAGCGAUAUGAAUCUCGCCUUGGAGCUUUGCGUUAUUACGCAACGAUUAGCCUGCGUUAAAGGCAAUGAGUGAACGGAAGGCAAAGCAUGCCGGACGUUAACUAGGGUGGUACCACGGGAAUAAUCUCCCGUCCCUAGC